ACUAGAAUCUCAGUUUCUCUAAUCGAUAAAAGGAAAAAAAAAUCUGUGGGAGGCAAUGAAGAUUAGUGCAAGCAAGCCAUGAGCGCAAUAUAAAGAUUCAAAUGAAAGCAUCGAUUUUAUCCUAGACAUGAUCAGAGUUUUCAUAUUCCCCAUUCAUUUUCUCCCUUGAUGGAAUAAGCAAACCUUCUCAACAACAAACGACAUAAAGCCCCAAAGGCAUAGAAUGCUCAUCCAACAGACUAAAAUCUAAGAAAAAAAAUAAGAAGUGGCAUAAAAUGACACCCCAAUGUCCAGAGAAAAUCUCUAAUGUAAAAUCAGAACAGUAAUGAAACAUUGCCCACUUACUGGACGACCAAACUUGGACAUUUCUGCAACUUUAACUCUUUGCUGACCUGGAUGGCC